GCUGCAGAAGGCAGUCGAUGAUGUUGAGCGCCACAUCACAAAUCCGAGAGCUGAUGUCAUGGGGCCCAACAUACCCAUGAUGGUGGAAGGCCAACCCCCGCGGUCCAGCGUGCGACGGUCAUCUCCCAGUCCAGAGAAGCUUCCGAACGAGAAGGUGCUGCGUGUGGGUGAGACGUCCAGGUGAUCCUCAUGCAUUAGGAAAGUCCUACAGGUGGAGCUGUAGGCUGGCUGGUUAAAAGAGGCUUUCCGGGAGCUGGCGGGUCUCUUUCCUCUCCGGGCCGUCGGUCUGGGCGACUGGGCGGUUGCCUUGCUCAUCGCACUUUUCUCCUCUCCCUACCCGUUUCAUUCUACUGAUCUACCCUACACCUUUGGUUAACCAUGCCAUUUACUGAUACACUUCUAUAUCAUGUUAAAUAAACAUUCCUUGUUAAAUAUAGUAAU